CCUACGGGGGGCAGCAGUGAGGAAUAUUGGUCAAUGGACGAGAGUCUGAACCAGCCAAGUAGCGUGAAGGAUGACUGCCCUAUGGGUUGUAAACUUCUUUUAUAUGGGAAUAAUAUGUUCCACGUGUGGGAUUUUGUAUGUACCAUAUGAAUAAGGAUCGGCCAACUCAGUGCCAGCAGCCGCGGUAAUACGGAGGAUCCGAGCGUUAUCCGGAUUUAUUGGGGUUAAAGGGAGCGUAGGUGGGUUGUUAAGUCAGUUGUGAAAGUUUGGGGCUCAACCGUAAAAUUGCAGUUGAAACUGGCAGUCUUGAGUACAGUAGAGGUAGGCGGAAUUCGUGGUGUAGCGGUGAAAUGCUUAGAUAUCACGAAGAACUCCGAUUGCGAAGGCAGUUCACUGGACUGCAACUGACACUGAGGCACGAAAGUGUGGGUAUCAAACAGGAUUAGAUACCCCUGUAGUC
rnacentral:rRNA from 1 species